UCUGGUUGAUCCUGCCAGUAGUUAUAUGCUUGUCUCAAAGAUUAAGCCAUGCAUGUCUAAGUACACACGAAUUAAAAGUGAAACCGCAAAAGGCUCAUUAUAUCAGUUAUGGUUCCUUAGAUCGUUAACAGUUACUUGGAUAACUGUGGUAAUUCUAGAGCUAAUACAUGCAAUUAAAACAUGAACCUUAUGGGACAUGUGCUUUUAUUAGGCUAAAACCAAGCGAUCGCAAGAUCGUUAUAUGGUUGAACUCUAGAUAACAUGCAGAUCGUAUGGUCUUGUACCGACGACAGAUCUUUCAAAUGUCUGCCCUAUCAACUUUUGAUGGUAGUAUCUAGGACUACCAUGGUUGCAACGGGUAACGGGGAAUCAUGGGUUCGAUUCCGGAGAGGGAGCCUUGAGAAACGGCUACCACAUCUAAGGAAGCAGCAGGCGCGUAAAUUACCCACUCCCAGCUCGGGGAGGUAGUGACGAAAAAUAACAAUACAGGACUCAUAUCCGAGGCCCUGUAAUUGGAAUGAGUACACUUUAAAUCCUUUAACAAGGACCAAUUUGGAGGGCAAGUCUGGUGCCAGCAGCCGCGGUAAUUCCAGCUCCAAUAGCGUAUAUUAAAGUUUGUUGCGGUUAAAACGUUCGUAGUUGAACUUGUGCUUCAUACGGGUAGUACAACUUACAAUUGUGGUUAGUACUAUACCUUUAUGUAUGUAAGCGUAUUACCGGUGGAGUUCUUAUAUGUGAUUAAAUACUUGUAUUUUUUCAUAUGUUCCUCCUAUUUAAAAACCUGCAUUAGUGCUCUUAAACGAGUGUUAUUGUGGGCCGGUACUAUUACUUUGAACAAAUUAGAGUGCUUAAAGCAGGCUUCAAAUGCCUGAAUAUUCUGUGCAUGGGAUAAUGAAAUAAGACCUCUGUUCUGCUUUCAUUGGUUUUCAGAUCAAGAGGUAAUGAUUAAUAGAAAGCAGUUUGGGGGCAUUAGUAUUACGACGCGAGAGGUGAAAUUCUUGGACCGUCGUAAGACUAACUUAAGCCGAAAGCAUUUGCCAAAGAUGUUUUCAUUAAUCAAGAACGAAAGUUAGAGGUUCGAAGGCGAUCAGAUACCGCCCUAGUUCUAACAUAAACGAUGCCAGCUAGCAAUUGGGUGUAGCUACUUUUAUGGCUCUCUCAGUCGCUUCCCGGGAAACCAAAGCUUUUGGCUCCGGGGAAGUAUGGUUGCAAAGCUGAAACUUAAAGGAAUUUGACGGAAGGGCACCACCAGGAGUGGAGCCUGCGGCUUAAUUUGACUCAACACGGGAAAAACUUACCAGGUCCGAACAUAAGUGUGUAAGACAGAUUGAUAGCUCUUUCUCGAAUCUAUGGGUGGUGGUGCAUGGCCGUUCUUAGUUCGUGGAGUGAUUUGUCUGGUUAAUUCCGAUAACGAACGAGACUCAAAUAUAUUAAAUAGAUAUCUUCAGGAUUAUGGUGCUGAAGCUUUAUGUAGCCUUCAUUCAUGUUGGCAGUAAAAUGCUUAUUGUGUUUGAAUGUGUUUAUGUAAGUGGAGCCGUACCUGUUGGUUUGUCCCAUUAUAAGGACACUAGCUUCUUAAAUGGACAAAUUGCGUCUAGCAAUAAUGAGAUUGAGCAAUAACAGGUCUGUGAUGCCCUUAGAUGUCCUGGGCUGCACGCGCGCUACAAUGAAAGUAUCAACGUGUAUUUCCUAGACCGAGAGGUCCGGGUAAACCGCUGAACCACUUUCAUGCUUGGGAUUGUGAACUGAAACUGUUCACAUGAACUUGGAAUUCCCAGUAAGUGUGAGUCAUUAACUCGCAUUGAUUACGUCCCUGCCCUUUGUACACACCGCCCGUCGCUACUACCGAUUGAAUUAUUUAGUGAGGUCUCCGGACGUGAUCACUGUGACGCCUUGCGUGUUACGGUUGUUUCGCAAAAGUUGACCCGAACUUGAUUAUUUAGAGAAGUAAAAGUCGUAACAAGGUUCCGUAGGUGAACCUGCGGAAG
rnacentral:rRNA from 1 species